GCUCAGGGGAUGGCGGAGCUGUGAAACUCGGAGCUAGAAGGAAAGUCUCAACGCUUGUCUAAAUUUUGCUUUGUCGUGACGAGCUACCUAGACCCACGCAGAGCUAACUUGGGAGAGCGCUUGUGACGCUACGAACCUCUCGAACACCUGACGACUGGGCGCCAGGGCCGGAUGGAGGGUGGAGAGCCAGUGCGGCGCAGCUGCCUCCUCUUAACGGGGACACCUUGCAGGAAUGUGCGGAGUGGAGCUAACGGGAGCGGAUAGAAACCGAGGGAGGGGAAGAGAGCGCGAAGGCUUGGCCGGAAGGAGAGGUUAAAAAGGAAAGGCCUAAAAUGAGGAAGAGAGUUACCACAACAAGCAGUACCUAGUUCCAGUUCUUGGUCCCAGGAGUUUGUGGUUGUUGCUGCUUUCAUCUUCCUCAGCCAACACAAAAGGAAAGUGCCAAGGGGCGAUUCCUAGGACCUUCAGUGCAGUCUCCACCUUGCGGACUUGGCUCAUUUGUGUCCACUCCUUUCUCCAGCCUUUUACACUUGAUGCUCUUGGAUGAAUAGAAAGGAGCACAAUUAAUGGAAAACACAAGCUUGGGAGUCAAGGGAUUUGGGUUCUAUUCUUGUCCUCCCUUGGUGACGACAUCAUUACCUUGGGUUAUUCAAGCUUUCAGUGCCAGAGUUCCUAUAUCAAUAAAAGAUUAUUACAUUGACCUCUUAGAGAAAUGUUUUCAUGGUACUGAAUUGCAAAUAAAGUAUGUGUAGCGAUGUGUUAUAUCUUUGUAGUUGUACGGUAUUAUUUGUGAAUCAUGCUGUGAUGAUCAGUGCGAUUUAAGUGCACCAUGUUAUUUGGUGAUUAUUUUCCUGAGAUCUUGUAAAAGAUUUUUCUGCUCUAUAUAUGCAGCUUUAUAAACAAGUUUUUAGGUACAUUCACAACUAAGGACAUUUGUGAAUCAAAAUUACCCCUGCUUUUUUUAAAUGUAAAGUUCUGUAUUGCUAGGUGGUUUUCAAGAUGCUUUCAGUUUCUGGGAUUAUUGUUUUGGGCAUUGGGGCUUGCCUAACCUUUUUCCCAUACCUCCCUAUUUUUCUAAAUACAGUGUUGAUAUAGUCAGGCAUUUUUCACCAAUUUGGGUUUUUUUUUUUUUUUUAAGUUUUCACUUAGAAAGUACUUCUUUUUCAUAUUAAAAAAAUUUUUUUUAGAGAUGGGGCAGCCCAAACUGGAACACAAUGGCAGAAUCAUAGCUCACUGCAUCCUUGGACUCCCGGGCUCAAGGGGUCCUUAUGCCUCAGCCUCCGGAGUAGUUGGGACUACAGAUGCUCAUCACCACCACUGGCUUUGAUUUUUUUGUUCUAUCAUACUUAGCCUAUCAGCUAACGGUUAACCUUCAGAUUCAUGGAAAUCCAGGUUCAGAAUAGUAUUAUUAAUGUCUGCUGAUGCUAAUAUUUAAAUAAUUAGAAUUAAAAAGAGCUUUCAAAUUGUAUUUUAUAUAAUUUAACCUGUAAGUUAGAAGUUUUGUUGGCAUUUUAUGGUGCAUCAAGAAAAUUUACUGAGAGAAGAUGUACUUACUUUAGAUCUGAUAAAAUGUUAAACAUUUGUUUGAUUUGAUUUGACAUCUCUUACUUUCAGGCAUUGCUUUAGCAUCUGUGGUCUGUAUUUACCCCCUUAAUUGUGGUUGCCUUGAAUUACCAAUGCAGUAGCAGUGUGAUAAAUUAAUUUCUUUACCUAUGUUUUAUUACUGCCCUCUAGUAUCUCUUUUCAGCGACCAGCGUGCUGUAACCAGUCACAAUUUCUUUAUCAAGAGUUGCCAUUAAUAUUUAUUUAUAGAGCAUAAGGUUUAUAUUGCUUAUAUAUAAGCUAUAUAUAGUUUAGGUGCUGACCUAAGGUUUAUAAAAGUGAAAACUUACUGUAAUGGGCAGUCUGAAGCACUGAGGUGCACCUUUUUAUCUUACUGGCAAGACCAUCUACUACCUAUGAAUUAUAAGGUAGUGGUCUCCAAGAUGUUUUGAUAGCCUCCCAUUUACAUAGUUACUGUUUAUGCUAUGAGAAAAGUAAGAGGGGUAUCAGAGAGCUUGUUUUCCCCAAUAGCCUGUUACGGACUCCUCAGUACCAAGUAAGGACAAAAACCUUCAUCUCCUAACACUCUUUCAACUGUAUCCCACUGAGUGCCUGCCUAGGACUGCAUAAGGCAAAAGCUGUAUAAAUAAUGGCCCCUACUUCAAGGAUCCUACAGGAUAUCAUUUUAAGAAAUAUGUGAAGAUCUAUAUAAUUUAGUUCUAAGUGUUGAGAGGAAAUUCAGUGCUACUUACAUUUAGAUAAAGUAGUGGGACUGAGAGUAGUUAGGUUAGCUUUAUGGAGGGAUUUAAGCUGAGCCUUAUGUGAAUGGAUAAAAUUUGGAGAGGAGGAGAGCAAUAAAAGGCAUAUCACACAGAGAAAAGCAAGGGCACAGAUGUGAGAAUUGUAUGGUUUCUAUAGAGGACAGUGAAGAGCUUUAUUUGUACUGUUGAUCCAUGUUUGGGAGUUCUAAAAAAAUAAGUUAUUAUGGAGCACCUUGAAAAAGUAAGAUUUCAGAGUAACAGUAAAGAAAUAGAGCAUUUAACAAAACCCAGCAUAAUAUAUUCAUAGAAACAAUAUAAUCCAGCAAAAUAUAUUCAAAAACAAUGAGCAAAUCUUAACUUGGGGUGGGGAGAUGAAUCAGUUGAUGAACAAUCAGUCAGAAUUAAAGUGUAAUACUAUUACACCUAGACCAAGAACAAUUGACCAGGAAGCCAGCGAUACCUAUGAUAGCCAAAAUGCCAUGAAGUAUGAAUGAAUUGUUAGUAAAAAAAAAAAAACGGAUCCAGGUAGUGUCCAGUAUAUAUUAAUACGUUUGAUAAGCAGAAAUGGAAAAGGCAGUAAAAUAUCCUGGUUAGAUAUAUGCCUUAUCAAGCUAUGGCAGCCAGCUUUUCAAACACCAUGAAAAACUGGGCAAGAGGCAGAUUCAGAGAAUAAGAGGGAAAUAGACUGUAAAAACAGAAUGUUGCUGAUUGAAGGCAUUGUCCCGUUCCUGUCUCGAAGGAGAUUCAUUCUCGUUGAGGCCUGGCAAUAUAUGUACUCAUUUGAAAAGGAACCUUUUGAUCUAGAGAGGUCCUGCAGCCUUCCUUCUUUUCUGAGAAGGAAAAUUUUGUUGUGGAUAUCCUUUGAGCUGGAUAGACCUGUCCCUCCCUACAGCUUCUUUGCUAAUAUAAUUGCCUCCAGUUCACUCCUAAAAGAAUGCUUAGGGUAUUAAACUGCUCUGUAGUAAGCAAUUAGUCUGUAUAUUGUUUCCUAAACUUAAGAAGGCUUUUGUUCAAGGGCCCCUGACCCUAACCUCAGCUGCCACUCCAUGCCAGUUGAAAAAGGCUUUCAGCCUUCCUUGGUGCUAUGGUUUGAAUGAAGGUAUUCCUCCAAAAUUCAUAUGUUGGAACUUAAACCCCAAGGUGGUGAUAUUAAGAGGUGGGGCCUUUUGGGAAGUGAUUUAGCUGUGAGGGCUUUGCUGUCAUGAAUGGUAUU
ensembl:lncRNA CBLL1-AS1 CBLL1 antisense RNA 1